AUGGAUGAUAUCGAUAACUUUACCUUAUCAAAAAAAAAACAAAAAAAACAAAAGGAUGAUAUCGAUAAUGGCUUUUCAGCAUCUCCUUGGGAGUCCUUCAGCAAGACUAACUGAGAUCAAGCAUGAAGUUAAGAAUCAUGUUCCUCCUCCGUUCCGCAGGGGGCAUGUAUUUGCAACAAAAAUUGGUGUUCUGCAGGAAUUUUUGGCUAGAAAGCAUUUUGUGGAAGGAUUUCAAAGAACAUAAAGUUGACUUAAAUCUUCCACUGCGAUUCCCAAGGUUUAUUUUAUCAGUUUUUUUUUCUUCUUGACUGUCAGAAAAGUUCAUGACCAACAACUUUUUUACCGCUAACGUUGGUCAUUAGUCAUUACGGCUAAUAAUAGAAUUAAUCAAUUUUCGAGGAUACUGCGGCUGGCAAACAUAAUCUUGAAAAAGGUUUGGGAGCUUGAUUUUACAUGAUCUAAAGAUAGCAUUAUCCUACAACAGAUAUAGAUAUUUAAUUCAUUAAACGAUUAAUCGAUCAAGCUUUUUUAGGACGACGAAGGUAUUCCCGGAAUAUUGAUAAAAUUUGGACUUAUUGAAUUCUUCCUUACUCCCGUUGUAGCAGCAGCUGGCUUCAAGUACUGAUAAGACGUGUAUCCAUUUUCCCAAUCAGAAGAUUGUCUCUUCUUUUUUCGAGAGAUCUCACCUCUGCUUCCCUCUCAGUCUCGCUCUGUUUUCCCCCUGGUAAACGGGUUGAUUUUGGCUUUGAUGCGUAUCGGAUCAGAGUACAGCAUUUAGUUUGAAUGCUUGCUAGAGAACUCGCAGGAAUGUGAGAUUUUUACUUGUAGGAGAUUGAAGCUUUGACGAUCGUCAUCUCCUUUAAGACAAUUCCUCGAACAAUGGGGAUUGGAAUUUCACUGAUAUAUACCUUUCCACUUCCUGGCCACAUCUCGGUGAGCAACCGGAAAGUAUCUGUAUGGAGUGAAAUUUGUAAUUGAUAGGUGGACAAUCCAGGUGGUGACACGUGGCAAUAUGGACAGGUCAGACAUGAGUCGGCAGAAGUAGUGUCCGGUCCACUUCACAUGCUUGGCCAGCGAGCAUCCUGAGCUAUCAGUAGCCAGAGUCAUGGCUCCGGAGAUGAGGAGCCAACCACAGGGCGUUGACCGGAUAAGAUAAGGCUGUUACGGAAGAUGCCAAGAAUACUGCCAACCGUUACUUAGCCUCAAUAAUGAGCAGUUAAUGGAAUUUAUGAGGGCAUUACUUAUGGAUCUUGUUCCCUGAAAUAGCAUUUAGCUAUAAGUGGCAUCUUAUCUUGUUGAAGGGCAUUCAGAUUCUGGUUACGCAUGACACUUGUACUUUGGUAUUCUUGCUCGUUCACAAGCUUUAUUAUACCAUCGCAUAGUCUAACUCAGGAGCUCAGUCCGGCGGCCUUGCCAGCUUAUAACGUCGGAACUCAGGCUGCACUUGCUUGCUUAUCAAAUUACUCAAUUCUUGUUAUUUUGUUCUUUAAUCAUAUUACUGUGUUAUACUUCUUAUUCAUUCCCUUUGGUCAUCUCAAUUCGCAUGUCCAUAAAUCACGUGUACAAAUUCAACAGUACUGUUUUACGGGUAAAAAGUACGUAAGUGGCUUCUUGUCUCUUCAAUGGAACACGAUGUUCUUCAAUUUAACAUUUGUCCACUUGCGUGA